rnacentral:rRNA from 1 species
AAUGAACGCUGGCGGCAGGCUUAACACAUGCAAGUCGAGCGCAUCCUUCGGGGUGAGCGGCAGACGGGUGAGUAACGCGUGGGAAUCUACCUUUUGCUACGGAAUAGCUCCGGGAAACUGGAAUUAAUACCGUAUGUGCCCUUAGGGGGAAAGAUUUAUCGGCAAGAGAUGAGCCCGCGUUGGAUUAGCUAGUUGGUGGGGUAAAGGCCUACCAAGGCGACGAUCCAUAGCUGGUCUGAGAGGAUGAUCAGCCACAUUGGGACUGAGACACGGCCCAAACUCCUACGGGAGGCAGCAGUGGGGAAUAUUGGACAAUGGGCGCAAGCCUGAUCCAGCCAUGCCGCGUGAGUGAUGAAGGCCUUAGGGUUGUAAAGCCCUUUCACCGGAGAAGAUAAUGACGGUAUCCGGAGAAGAAGCCCCGGCUAACUUCGUG